ACGUUUGUCCACUAUUAUUAAGCAUUGCAAUACUUAAAAUAUGUUGUUUAAUAUGUUGUUCAGUUUUACUUAAAACGUUAUACUUUGGUUGAUUAGGCUGUUGUCCUUUACAUGAUACAUUAAUUUUAAUAAGCUACUACUGAAAUUCCCACAAGGAUUUCAACAUAAUAUCUGAAAUGCUUUAAAAAAAUGUUUUUUUUUUUAAAUCUUGUGCUUAGUUGUGUUUAAAUUCAAACAACACACUGACUAAACCUGAUUGGUUCCAGAGCCAUUGAACGGCUCUGAUUGGUUUGUAUGAUAAUGAGCUCGCACCAGCGAGCUUCGUAAAUCAAAUAUGAUGUGAGUGCAAAUGUGCCUUGAAUGUGAAUAUAAGUCUAAAUUUAAACAGUUAUAUUAUACAGAGCGAUCGUGUAUCUUUAGAGCACUUGGAGGAAACCACGCAAUUCAUAUAGAUUACUUUGGCAAUGUUUUUUUUUUUUUGCGAUGAACUUUUUCAAACGUGAACAUCUUUGGUAAAUCAUCUUUCAUCGGAGGGACAUAAAGAUUUCAUUAAAAUAUAUCUGCGCUUUUCUUUUGAAGAUGAACAAAAGUCUUAGAUGGCUUGGAGCAUCUUAAGUGUGAGUGAUGGCAGAAUUCAAAUUGUUUUGGGGGAACUAUGAAAUUAAUUAGAAAAUAUAGUAGUAUGCUCUUAUUUUUACCAGCUUCUACAAUGUGUAUGGCAUCUGGCUUUUGGAACCUCACUGUGACUGACUUCAGGUAAGUUUUGAAAUUUAAUUAAUGUUAUUUGUCUGUACCAGUCAUGUUUUUGCCACAUGCAUUGGCAGAAAAAAAAGUCUUUAUAACAUGUACAACAUUAAUAUUUUUUAUUUGCAAAAUGAAGUUGUGUAGGCCUAUUUAUUUCUGAUUUCCUGAACAAUUUGGCUUCAUUGUAAUGAGGUUAAUGAUCUUUGAAAAACCAUGGUUAUGAACGUACGAUUACUUUGUCUUGAGCUGAUCACCCAACUAUGGUAAUGUUCGUUGAUAGGUGUUUAUAUUUGUUCAAGCUUGACAAUCUUAUCGCCUUUAUUUUCUAAUAAAGCCUAUAUUUCUCAUUACAGAUAAGAACAAAGAUAAAAUUGUAAGAAGGGUUGCUUAUAAGAGAGCAUACAGUACAUCUGAAACUGCUGAGACUAGGAAGGUUUUUGACUAUAUUACCGAACAGCUGCUAUAGAAGACAAACUGAAAUCUGAGUGGAGAGACGGGAAUAAGUGUUGUACAGUGACGACAGACAAGAGGAUAAGAAUGGACACUCAUACGUCAAGCUUGAUGAGGAUAUUGUCAAAAGAUCCUGUGAUAAAGCAGUCUUCAAAUACUACAGUGUCUGAAUUGCAAGCACUUAGUUGCAGAAAAUGCAGGCCGUCUGCUGCGCUCCAACCCUCUACCUCUUUGGUUGCAGUAGCCUUUUACCGUCGGGUACACCGUGGUCCUCGGUCACACCGACAUCGCCCCAGUCCUCGGGUACUCUGGCUCCACCAACGAUGCUCGUCGCUGCGGCUGUGCCCAGGUCUCCGGAACCUGUGAAGACGUUCAGCUCCAUUGGCCCUCCGUCUGCGUCUUCGGAUCCACCAGCUCUUUCUCCAUCGGUCGGCCCCCAGAUGUCGGCAGCCACACCAUCUACAUCUUGGCUCCUCGCUCACUUGACUCCACCGUGUGUUGCCAGCACUGGGAUGCUCUGUGUCUGUGUCAUGUGCUAAACACCAUCUAAGCCACCAGGGCAUCAUCGUCAUCCUCCCAUCACCAUCCCUUCGCUACAUCCUGCCAUCAUCCCCGCACUUUUGCCUCUCACCAUCCCUACGCCAUCUCCUCGUCCACCUCCAAAACCCCCUUCAUUCCUCCCUAUUCUGUUGCUUGAACUUUAUCAUCUUCAGUCUUUGCACACACACAGCUAUUCACUUCUGCACUUUGUUUUUCAGUAAAUUUUUAUUUAUUUUUUCUUCAGAAAAUUGCAUUGUAAUUUUUAUUUAUUAAUUGAGGUCAAAUUCUGUACUUUUCAGUAAUACAGGUAUAGCUGAAAUGUUCUACAAAUUGAUAAGAUAGCUCUGCCAUAGCAUUUCAGUCUUUUUUCAUUUAUUAUGUUUUUUGUAUAAUGUUUUAAAAUGUACUUGAGUAUGUUUGUAGUAAUACAAAUAUACUAAAAACACUUGUAUUUCAAGUGCAUUUUUAAUACAUUUAAUAGUAUGUUUUUUUUGUUUUGUUUUUCACCAAGGUAUAUGCUGCUGUACUUUUUUUAUGUACUUUAUGAAUAUUUGUAAUGUACACAACAAUAUAUAAUACAUUAAAGUUUUCUAGAAAAGUGUGUACAUGUGUAUAUACUGAAAAAAAGCUUUAUAAUAUACUAGUAGUGUAUAGUGCUAAUGCAUUUCUAAUGAGCUGAAAUACAAUUGAAAUGUACUUGAAGUACAUUAAAAUGAUGCUUAAAAUAUACUCGAACUGUAGUUCAUAAAGUAUUAAGAGUACAUUUUAAAUGUAUUUUAAGAAAUAUACUUAAAGUGGUUCCAUUUUAACACAAUUUCAAUAUAUUAAAUAUAUUGCAAAUAGAUUAAAAUUGAACUUAAACAUACCUUGAAAUACACUUAGUAUACUUAAAGUUGUUUCAAAAUAAUACAUUUAAUAUGCACUUAGUAUAGUAUAGUUUAAAUAUAUUAAGUGUGUCUGAAAAAGCACAAUUUAAUUAUAUUUCUUUUUCACCUGGGGGUUUACUCUGCACAUGUGUGCUAAAAACAUUUUGGAUUCAUAGCCUCCUUAAAAUAGUGACUUGUGAAUGUACAACAGCACGAAUUAAUGAUGCAUUGAUGCAUGGCAAUGUUUUUCUUCCAACAUUUUGGACUAUAUAAAGGAAUGAUGACCAUAUAAAGUUUUUUUUUUUUUUUUUCAGAUUGUAAAAUUUAUUGAUAAUAUGUCUGUUGUUUCCCCUCCCUGUUGUUUGUUUGAAUGGAUGUUAUUUUGUUAAUCGAAAGACAAUAAAAAGUUGAUCACAAAAAAAAAUCAAGAGAAGACUUCACCAGAGCAAAUACAGAGGUUUCACCACAAGGUGCAAACAAGGCCAGAUUAGACUUUGCCAAAAAACAUCUAAAAAAGCCAGACCACUUCUGGAAAAGCAUUCUUUGGACGGUUGAAAUUAAGAUCAACCUUUACCAGAAUGACGGGAAGAAAAAAGUAUGGAGUAGGCUUGGAACAGCUCAUGAUUCAAAGCAAACAACAUCAUCUGUGAAGCAUGGUGGAGCAGUGUGAUGGCAUGAGCAUGCAUGGCUUCCAGUGGCACUGGGUUACUGGUGUUUAGUGAUGAUGUGACAGAAGACAGAAUUAGCCGGAUGAAUUCUGAAGUGUACAAGGAUAUACUCUCUGCCCAGAUUCAGCCAAAUGCAGCAAAGUUGAUUGGACGGCGCUUCAUAGUACAAGUGGACAAUGACCCAAAACAUACAUCAAAAGGAACCCAGGAGUUUUUGAAGGUAAAAAAAGUGGAACAUUCUGCAAUGGCAGAGUCAGUCUCCUGAUUUCAACCCGACUGAGCAUGCAUUUCAUUUAUUGAAGACAAAACUAAAGGCAGAAAGACCAACGAACAAACAAUAACUGAAGUCAGCUGCAGUAAAGGUCUGCCAAAGGAGGAAACCCAGUCUCUGGUGAUGUCCAUGAGUUCCGGAAUUAAGGCAGUCAUUACCUGCAAAGGAUUCUAAAUAAAAUAUUAAAAAUUAAAAUUU